UACGUAGGGUGCAAGCGUUAAUCGGAAUACUGGGCGUAAAGCGUGCGCAGGCGGUUAUGUAAGACAGAUGUGAAAUGCCCGGGCUUAACCCUGGGAACUGCAUUUGUGACUGCAUGGCUAGAGUUUGGCAGAGGGGGGUAGAAUUCCACGUGUAGCAGUGAAAUGCGUAGAUAUGUGGAGGAACACCGAUGGCGAAGGCAGCCCCCUGGGUCAAGACUGACGCUCAUGCACGAAAGGCGUGGGG
rnacentral:rRNA from 1 species